AACAAUGCCGAAUGACUUUAUCAAAAUCUAUUUAAAAUGAAGUAUAUCAAUAUUUUUGUUAUCAUAACUGAUUUUAGGAUGAAUAUUUUACCAUAUUUUGGAAUUUAUAAAGGGUACAAGUGUCUAGAUUUGAAAGUUUUCAUGCAAUUUUAGAGCCAAUAUUUUUCAAUUUUGGUGCCCUAGACUCUUUAUUCUCUCAUAUCACUGCCUUGCUAUUCAAGCAGCAAUGCCUUUACUUUAACCCAUUCAAAGCAGCUAUGGCCGAGUUGGUUAAGGCGAUGGACUCGAAAUUAGAAAUUUUGGAAAAAAAAAAAUGAAAACUUCAUUUCAAGAAUGGAAAAUAUAUCAAUUCUAGUUAUCCAUUGGGAUUUUUCCCGCACAGGUUCGAAUCCUGUUGGCUGCGAAAAGUGUGGUUUCUUUUUGUUCAAUCAAAAAAACACUGUUUUUACGAAUUAAAUUCUAUGUAAUACAACACCAUAAAAUAAAAAUUAAAAUAAAUUUAUUUUUA